GACGUAGGGCGCAAGCGUUGUCCGGAAUUAUUGGGCGUAAAGAGCUCGUAGGCGGCUUGUUGCGUCGACUGUGAAAACCCGUGGCUCAACCAUGUGGUCUGCAGUCGAUACGGGCAGGCUAGAAUUCGGUAGGGGAGACUGGAAUUCCUGGUGUAGCGGUGAAAUGCGCAGAUAUCAGGAGGAACACCGGUGGCGAAGGCAGGUCUCUGGGCAUUAACUGACGCUGAGGAGCGAAAGCAUGGGGAGCGAACAGG
rnacentral:rRNA from 1 species